rnacentral:rRNA from 1 species
UACGGAGGGUGCAAGCGUUACUCGGAAUCACUGGGCGUAAAGCGCGCGCAGGCGGCUUGAUAAGUUGGAUGUGAAAGCCUACGGCUCAACCGUAGAACUGCAUCCAAAACUGUCAAGCUAGAGUCUGGGAGGGGAAGAUGGAAUUAGUUGUGUAGGGGUAAAAUCCGUAGAGAUAACUAGGAAUACCAAAAGCGAAGGCGAUCUUCUGGAACAGUACUGACGCUGAGGCGCGAAAGCGUGGGGAGCAAACAGGAUUAGAUACCCUGGUAGUCCACGCCCUAAACGAUGAAUGUUAGUCGUCGGAGGCCUAGUGUCUUCGGUGAUGCAGCUAACGCAUUAAACAUUCCGCCUGGGGAGUACGGUCGCAAGAUUAAAACUCAAAGGAAUAGACGGGGACCCGCACAAGUGGUGGAGCAUGUGGUUUAAUUCGAAGAUACGCGAAGAACCUUACCUAGCCUUGACAUAUAUUAGAACUCCGUAGAGAUACAGAGGUGCCUUCGGGAGCUUUUAUACAGGUGCUGCACGGCUGUCGUCAGCUCGUGUCGUGAGAUGUUGGGUUAAGUCCCGCAACGAGCGCAACCCUCGUCACUAGUUACUAACGGUUCGGCCGAGGACUCUAGUGAGACUGCCUUCGCAAGGAGGAGGAAGGUGAGGACGACGUCAAGUCAUCAUGGCCCUUACGGCUAGGGCAACACACGUGCUACAAUGGCCAGGACAGUGAGACGCGAUACCGCGAGGUGGAGCAAAUCUAUAAACCUGGUCUCAGUUCGGAUUGUAGUCUGCAACUCGACUACAUGAAGCUGGAAUCACUAGUAAUCGUAGAUCAGCUAUGCUACGGUGAAUACGUUCCCGGGUC